GACAAACGUCACACGAGGGCUGACGCUGACCAUCCGGACCCGAAGUGCUGAAGGAGACAAGAACUGUGAUGCACAUGGACCAAACAUGAUGAGUGCGGAGGGAGACGGAAGGAGUUAAGUUUACCACCGGGGGAGGAUAGUUCUUUCUCUUCCAGACCAGACAUUGAUGUCGUCAUAACCCUUUAUGUUUAUCUCUGGGAAACGCGGGGGAGGACAGCCCUCUCUCAUCUCCCUCACCGGGCUC
rnacentral:lncRNA from 1 species